rnacentral:lncRNA from 1 species
AUAAAAGGAGAGCAAGGUGUAGCUCAUAAGCAUGGAGAAGUAGAGAAGAACAAGGAAGAGAGAAAAAUAGCAAGAAGCCAUUUGGCAUAGAGAAGAAUUUUCUCAAAUUGUCUUGUUUUGUAUUUUUGGUUUUCUCUUCCUAUUGUAAGUGUGAGAGCUUGGGGUUAUUUGGGUCUUUGGGAAAUUGAGUGAUAAACACUAUUGUAUGUUCUCAUUGAUUAUAGUGGAAUACUCCGUCGUCUCCAAACUGGAUGUAGGCAUUGCCGAACCAGUAUAAAUCUUGGUGUUCUUGUUGGUGUUGGUUUUAUUCUGUUCUGUUUUACUAUUCACUUACAGUCGUACGCCGCUUCCGCACAACAAGUGGUAUCAGAGCCCAGUUCCGUGAAUAGUGUUGGCGCUACAGUUCAGUGAACAGUGAACUGUUACAGUAUCUGUGAACAGUAUUGUACCUGUGAACAGUGCCGUAUUUGUGAAUAGUGCCGAGUAGAUGGCUGGAGAUAAAGAUGAAUCUGUAAGGAAGGAGUCAGCAUCGUCUUCGUCUACAUCCAAUAGACAUCCAACCACUACUACAAGGUUAGAGGUUGAUAAAUUCAAUGGCUCUAAUAAUUUUGGUAUGUGGCAAUGUGAAGUUAUGGAUGUGUUGUAUCAACAAGAGUUAGAUAUGGUUCUGGAAGAUAAACCAGAAGAUAUUGAUGACAAGCAGUGGACGCGAAUUAAUCUUCAUGCUUGUGCUGCUAUUCGAUCAUUCCUUGAUAAGGAGUUGAAAUACCCGUAUAUGAAGGAAACUUCUGCUAAGGAGUUAUGGACGAAAUUGGAGGAGAAGUAUAUGACCAAGAGCGCAGAAAAUCGUCUCUUCUUGAAGAAGCGACUCUUCCGAUUUCAGUAUCGUCCAGGUAUCUCUAUGCACGAACACCUCAAUGAUUAUAAUAAAAUACUUGCUGAUUUAGCAAACCUUGAUGUGAAAAUUCCUGACGAGGACAAGGCACUAUGUUUGUUAAAUUCAUUGCCUGAUGAUUAUGAUCAUUUGACAACUACUCUGUUGUAUGGAAAAUCCGAGGUGAAACUUGAUGAGGUGUCUGCGGCAUUGGUGAAUCAUGAGUGUCGUAAGAAGGAACUGAAGACUCACAAUUCACAAACCGAGGCAUUUGUUGCAAGGGGUCGAACAGAGGAAAGAAAAUCUGGGAAGCGGGGAAAAUCUCUCGUUCAAAGUCACGAGGGAAGUUUCCUGCUAAAGAUGAAUGUGUUUUUUGUCGCCAAAAGGGUCAUUGGAAGAAAGACUGUCCCAAAUUGAAGAACAAAGAGAAGGAGAAAGCAGGUUCUGAAGCAAAUAUUGCAAAAUCUGGAAAUGAUGAUGAUUUCGAGUUUGCUUUGGCUAGUUCAUAUGCUGAUGGUCACUCAAAUGAGUGGAUUUUGGAUUCAGGUUGCACCUAUCAUAUGUGUCCCAUUCGGGAAUGGUUUUCUAAUUUCAAGGAGCUGGAUGGUGGAGUUGUUUUGAUGGGUAAUGAUAAUGCCUGCAAAACACAAGGGAUAGGCAAAAUCUGUUUGAAGAUGCAUGAUGGAACAGUCAGAGAAUUAAGUGAUGUUCGGUAUGUACCGGAUAUGAAGAAAAAUCUCAUCUCACUGGGUGCAUUGGAAUCUAAGGGUCUCAAGAUCACCAUGGAGGGUGAAGUUCUUAAAGCUGUGUAUGGGGCACUGGUGGUGAUGAAAGGUAUAAGACGAAAUAACUUGUAUUUCUUGCAGGGGAGUACAAUUAUUGGUGGAGCAGCUGUCACCGAAGCUGCUGACGCAGAUAGCACAGACACCACGAGGUUAUGGCAUAUGCGUCUUGGGCAUGCUGGUGAAAAAGCGUUGCAAGGAUUGGUGAAGCAAGGCUUAUUGAAAGGUGCAAAGGCAUGCAAAUUGGAAUUCUGUGAGCAUUGUGUGUUGGGUAAGCAAACUAGAGUAAAAUUUGGCACUGCUAUUCACCACACUAAAGGCAUUCUUGAUUAUGUUCACACUGAUGUUUGGGGACCUUCCAAGAAUGCAUCUUGGGGAGGUAGCCAUUAUUUUGUCUCCUUUGUUGAUGACUUCUCUAGAAGAAUAUGGGUGUACACCAUGAAGCGUAAAGAUGAAGUCUUGAAGAUAUUCCUGAAGUGGAAAAAGAUGAUUGAAACGCAAAGCGGUCGAAAGAUCAAGACUCUCAGAUCAGACAAUGGGGGUGAAUAUAAGUCUGAUCCUUUCUUGAAAGUUUGUCAAGAUGAGGGUAUUGUGAGGCACUUCACGGUUAGGGAGACACCGCAACAGAAUGGGGUGGCGGAACGCAUGAACCGUACUUUGCUUGAGAAAGUUCGGUGUAUGUUGUCUAAUGCUGGAUUAGGCAAGGCAUUUUGGGCUGAGGCACUCACUUAUGCAAGCCAUCUCAUUAAUCGAUUGCCAGCUGCUGCGAACGAGGGCAAAACGCCCAUGGAGGUAUGGUCUGGUAAACCUUGUACUGAUUACAAGUUUUUACACAUAUUUGGUUGUCCUGCUUACUAUUAUGUCAGAGAAAGCAAGUUGGAUCCAAGAGCAAAGAAAGCUCUAUUUAUGGGCUUUAGCACUGGCGUGAAGGGAUACCGACUCUGGUGUCCAGAUGAGAAGAAAUUUGUUGUAAGCAGAGAUGUGACUUUUGAUGAGGCUGCUAUGGUUAAUCAGAACAAGCAUGAAGGUGAAACUGAAGCGACCAAAACCAUGAGGAGCUCAAAGCAGGUGGAGUUACUGAAGACUCCAGUUGUUCCAGUAAGGUCUGAUGUUUCAAACACUAGUCCUACAGUUAAUUCUGAUGAUGAGGACGAGGAUGAUGAAGAGGAGGCACCUACCCAAGAGCCUCCACAGCAACAAGACUAUAUUGCAACCAGAAGAUCGAGAAGGGAAAUCCGAAAGCCUGCUCGAUUUACUGAUAUUGUGGCAUAUGCACUUCCCGUUAUUGAAGAUGAUAUUCCAUCCGCCUACAAAGAAGCUGUCAUGAGUUCAGAGUGCGAGUUGUGGAAGAAAUCUAUGGAUGAGGAGAUGAAAUCUCUUCAUAAAAAAUAAGACUUGGAAGCUGGUUCAGUUACCAAAGGGGAAGAAAGCAAUUGGUUGUAAAUGGGUGUAUGCCAAAAAGAUGGAAUCUUUGGGAAAAGACAAUGUAAGAUUCAAAGCCAGAUUGGUAGCUAAAGGCUAUGCUCAGAAAGAAGGCAUUGACUACAAUGAGGUAUUUUCUCCUGUAGUAAAACAUUCUUCUAUUCGUAUUUUGUUGGCUUUGGUUGUGCAGUUUGACCUUGAGUUAGCCCAACUUGAUGUCAAGACUGCGUUCUUACAUGGUGAUUUGGAGGAAGAGAUUUAUAUGUCUCAACCAGAAGGUUUUAAGGUUGCUGGGAAAAGCAUUGUAAGUAGAUAUAUGCAUAAUCCAGGAAAAGGACAUUGGCAAGCUGUGAAAUGGAUUCUACGGUAUAUUCUGGGUACUGUGGAUGUUGGUUUAUUGUUCCAGCAGGAUAAAGUUACUGGUAAAUGUGUUGUUGGAUAUGUGGAUUCUGAUUACGCAGGUGAUUUGGACAAGCGUAGGUCCACUACUGGUUUUGUAUUCUCUAUUGCUGGAGGUCCAGUAAGUUGGAGGUCGAUUCUGCAAUCUACAGUUGCUUUGUCGACUACUGAGGCAGAAUACAUGGCUGUGACAGAAGCUAUAAAGGAAGCCAUCUGGCUUCAAGGGUUGCUUGAUGACUUAGGGGUUCAACAAGACCAUGUGGAUGUUUAUUGCGACAGUCAGAGUGCUAUUCAUUUAGCAAAGAAUCAAGUUCAUCAUGCACGUACGAAACACAUUGACGUGAGGUUCCAUUUUGUUCGUGAGAUUAUUGACGAGGGAGAUAUUCUUCUUCAGAAGAUGGGGACCGCUGACAAUCCUGCGGAUAUGUUAACGAAGCCAGUUUCGUUGCACAAGUUUAAGCACUGCUUAGACUUGAUUGGCGUUUGUAAAAUUUGUUGAUUGCCCCAUGGGGGAUUGGGAGAUGACUAUUUGGAGUUCUACUUAGAGGGUUUGAGUCAAGGUGGAGAUUGUUGAUUAUUGACUCAAACAUGUAGUCAAAGUCCAAAUCUUUGGGCUACUUUUGUGGUCAAAAUUGUUGGAUGGCAUGCUACAUGUGGGAAACCAAAAUUGGAUGCACUUAUGCCUAAUUCUUUUUGACUUGAUGUUAGGCCUUUGGCCAUUGAUGUCUUUGAGAAGCUUUUCUUUAGCUAUAAAAGGAGAGCAAGGUGUAGCUCAUAAGCAUGGAGAAGUAGAGAAGAACAAGGAAGAGAGAAAAAUAGCAAGAAGCCAUUUGGCAUAGAGAAGAAUUUUCUCAAAUUGUCUUGUUUUGUAUUUUUGGUUUUCUCUUCCUAUUGUAAGUGUGAGAGCUUGGGGUUAUUUGGGUCUUUGGGAAAUUGAGUGAUAAACACUAUUGUAUGUUCUCAUUGAUUAUAGUGGAAUACUCCGUCGUCUCCAAACUGGAUGUAGGCAUUGCCGAACCAGUAUAAAUCUUGGUGUUCUUGUUGGUGUUGGUUUUAUUCUGUUCUGUUUUACUAUUCACUUACAGUCGUACGCCGCUUCCGCACAACAAACCACGCAAUCAUAACCCGGAUAUUGAAGCGUGGUUUUGCCUGUCAGCCUUUCUAAGAGGAGCACACCAAAGCUAUAGACAUCAAUUUGUGAGUGAUUUUCCGCAUGUCAGUUGCCUCUGGAGCGCGAUAUCCCAUGGCCCGGGACAUGGCUGGAGGGAAGUUCAUUAGAGGACACAACCCUGCGUCCGAGAUGCAAGCCUCGAGUUCUUGGGUGAGGAGGACGUUUGUGGACUUUAUAUUGCCAUGGCUAGAUUUUGAACCCUCGGAAUGAAUGUGGGCAAGUCCCUUGGCAAUUCCGAGCGAAAUCUUUACUCUUGAAUCCCAGUCUGGUGGAGACCUCCCAGCAUCACUGCUUCCUACAAAUCCAUCGGAACAACAACAACAACAACAAAGCUUUAUCCAUCGAAACAAUGAAAAUAAAUUAAAGUAACUAUAAUUAGACUUUAGGAUUUAGAUUAGGCAUCAUACCAUGCAAGUGUGCAAACAAGCUUCCUGUUGGCAUGUAGUUGUACACCAAAGGCUUAUCAUCUUUGGAGAAAUAAUAAGCGAGAGGAGGCAGGACAUUCUGGUGCUUCCCUACCCUCUCCACCACCUCCAUAUGCUGCUCAAACUCCCUCUUCCCCACCACAACUUCCCUCAACCGCUUCACCACAACCGUUGUUUCCUCAUCCAAUACAGCUUUGUAAGUUGUUCCGAAACUUCCUUUGACGAGAACUUCCGCUGACGCUCUCAGCAGAUCCUCAAGAUCAAAAUUGUAAUAGCAACCUUCAAAGAAGAACAGCUUGUUCUUCUCAGCCUCUUGCACUCCACUCCCAAAAUCCUUAGGCAUCUCACCCUUUCCAUCACCCGCAGCCUUCCCUUUCAACAUCCCGCCACCUACUUUGUUAGUCCGUUUCCAGCAGCAUAUGACAACAACCAGGACUAGAAGAAUAAACA